rnacentral:lncRNA from 1 species
AUCAAUUUCCUACAUUAUUAAACAGAAGAGAAAAAGUCUCAACAGGAGGUUAAAUCCUAAGGCUCUAGAUGCAAUUCUCCGUACCGCUGAGCACCUGGAACCUUCAUUUUGGAAACUCAUGAACUUCAGCGACACUGCCACGAGGGUUUAAUAAUGUCACCCAACUCCUGGACUCACAAAAGCUACAGUGGCUUCAAAUAAAUUAUCGUCUUCUCUUUAACGGCAAUCUAACACCACGGAGGUGAGGUUAGGGUCAAAAAACUUUUCAUCAUGCUCACAUAGUCAUAUUGAUUGUCUCUGGGAAAAAAGUCCACUUGCUCUCUUGAUUGACCGUCUCGAUUUUAGCGGGAAUACAAUAAAGAUAUUGAAUUUUUGUUUGUGACCUGUACCAUU